ACUCCUACGGGAGGCAGCAGUCGGGAAUAUUGCGCAAUGGAGGAAACUCUGACGCAGUGACGCCGCGUGCAGGAAGAAGGUUUUCGGAUUGUAAACUGCUUUAGACAGGGAAGAAAAAAGACAGUACC
rnacentral:rRNA from 1 species